AUGCACGCUGGCGGCGUGCUUAACACAUGCAAGUCGAACGGAAAGGCUCCUGCUUGCAGGGGUACUCGAGUGGCGAACGGGUGAGUAACACGUGGGUGAUCUGCCCUGCACUUCGGGAUAAGCCUGGGAAACUGGGUCUAAUACCGGAUAGGACGAUGGUUUGGAUGCCAUUGUGGAAAGUUUUUCGGUGUGGGAUGAGCUCGCGGCCUAUCAGCUUGUUGGUGGGGUAAUGGCCUACCAAGGCGUCGACGGGUAGCCGGCCUGAGAGGGUGUACGGCCACAUUGGGACUGAGAUACGGCCCAGACUCCUACGGGAGGCAGCAGUGGGGAAUAUUGCACAAUGGGCGCAAGCCUGAUGCAGCGACGCCGCGUGGGGGAUGACGGCCUUCGGGUUGUAAACUCCUUUCGUCAGGGACGAAGCGAAAGUGACGGUACCUGGAUAAGAAGCACCGGCUAACUACGUG
rnacentral:rRNA from 1 species